rnacentral:snRNA from 1 species
GGAUGUUAGGGCAAUCUCGGUGGAUAUCUAUCACCCCACUAAUCACCAGUUGACUUGGCUGAUAGGCUGGCUAGACAGGUGUCCCCUUCCUCUCAGCUCUGUCCCUCCCGAAGCAGUGUGCUCAGUAGAAGAGGAUGCCCACCACUGAUCUGGGAGAAUCACUGCCUUGGUUGAGGAUGUACAAGUAGUGAUACUGCUUUGCUAGAACCUGCAAUCAAGCUCUUUUGCUUUUUUAUUUAGAGACAAGGUCUCACUAAGUCGCUAAGUUGCCUGGGCUGGGUUUGAACUUGCCAUCCUCCUGCCUCA